ensembl:lncRNA
UUUUUUCUUCUCCUUCUCCCCAAAGCCCCCCAGUACAUAGUUUUAUAUUCUAGUUGUGAGUGCCCCUACUUGUGCUAUGUGGGAUGCCACCUCAGCAUGGCUUCAUGAGCAGUGCCACGUCCGCACCCAGGAUCCGAACCAGCAAAACCCUGGGCCACUGAAGCAGAGCACGUGAACUUAACCACUCAGCCACGGGGCGGCCCCUUUUCCUUUUGUUAUGUUAAGGAGACACAAUCACCAAUCUCCCUGAACCAGACCACACCUCACCAUGAGAGCUCCGCCUAUGACCUUUGCUUAUUCUUAAUGCUAAGACCUCUCCAGGAGGAGCUCAGGCCUUCUUCCCCUACCCUGCAGUGUAUGUGGAAGCCAGUUUUUCAGCUGAGCCUGUGCAAGCAAAUACCCUCCUCUCCCUUUUGAAUAUUCAUUCCCCACCUGAAAUAAAAUGUCCCUGCCUCCCUUUGUUUGGGGACGCCAUGACUUGGGAAAUGAUUCCGCAUCUUCUCCUAUUUGCUGCAUACACUUCACUUUGUGAGACGACUGCUUCUGGUGGACGGUCUGAUUGAACUCAGCAGGAGGGAACCCACUUUGGUUUCGGUAACAGUUUGUCUUUUCAUUCUUUUAACAGUGUCUUUUACAGGGCAAAAGUUUUAAAUAAUAAAGUUGAAACUAUGGUUUUUUCUCUUUCAUGGAUUGUACUGUUGGUAUUGUAUUUAAAAACUCAUCACCAAAUUCAAGGUCAUGAAGAUUUUUCUCCUAUGUUUUCUUCAAGAAGUUUUAUCAUUUUGCAUUUUACGUCUAUGAUCCUUUUUUUGUUUUUUUGAGGAAGAUUAGCCCUGAGCUAACAUCUACCGCCAAUCCUCCUCUUUUUGCUGAGGAAGACUGGCCCUGAGCUAACACCCAUGCCCAUCUUCCUCUACUUUAUACGUGGGACGUCUGCCACAGCAUCGCUUGCCAAGCGGUAUGCAGGUCCACACUUGAGAUCCAAAUCGGCGAACCCCCGGCCACUGAAGCAGAACGUGCAAACUUAACCGCUGUGCCACUGGGCUGGCCCUAUGACCCAUUUGAGAGGAUGUCAUCAGCGCAGUGCCAUCCCCGUGCUCCUGGAGGACGGCGGCUGCAGUGAAGAUCCCAUCUGCAGAGAUGGCGUGUGAGGGCGUAGCUGUCGUGGUGCCCCACGGGCAGCCUGGCUGAGCUGUGUGUGUCCCUUCGGAGGUAAAGGCAAGCUUCAGCUGAGAACCUGUUGAAACAGGCACUAAAUGGAAUGUAUUCGCCAAAUCUAUAAGAGCAAAAUGUGUACUGGGGUGGAGGCUGGGUGGAGGUAGUGAUCGCAACAGCAUUGGAUGCUGGGCGUGGGGGUCUGAGUGGAUCGGACGACAGCAUUACUGUUGCAGUGGGUCCACCAGGAGGCGCCGUAGGGAUAACCACCGCUUUAUUAGUCGGGUUUCAUGUAAGUGUUACUCCCCGGAGGCCCUGUUUCACUUACAUUGGGCCAUAUUCUUUUUUUUUUUUUUUUUGAGGAGGAUUAGCCCUGGGCUGACUACUGCCAGUCCUCCUCUUUUUGCUGAGGAAGACUGGCCCUGAGCUAACAUCCAUGCCCAUCUUCCUCUACUUUAUAUGUGGGACGCCUACCACAGCAUGGUGUGCCAAGCGGUGCCAUGUCUGCACCUGGGAUCCCAACCAGUGAACCCCGGGCCACUGAGAAGCGGAACGUGCGAACUUAACCGCUGCACCACAGGGCCGGCCCCUUAUAUUAACUAUUUUAACUGGGGGUCCAGUUAAUCAAGCCAGUUUGUCAAUGCCAAAAACUUACUUUAAUUUUAAUUUAUUAUUCUUUGUGUUAGCGCAUCUUUGCCUGAUGUGGGAUAUUUUUGGACAAAGAGUACUAUGACUAUGGGAAAUUAGGCAAGGCUGUGGUUCGAGUGAGGUCUGUCUGUUUUCCCUCUGUUUUAUAUUUAGUGACUUCCCAAGGUGAUAGGGACUACGAUGUUUACGUCUAGUGGGAUCCCCAGCUGUGACUCUCCUUUGAGCCCCAGUGUUGAUUAAGGCCGUGAAGUUUGUCAAUGGGUGCAUCUUAGCAAAUAAUUUAGCACCUACGUGCACCCAAGCCAACUGGCACAUUUAAAAAUCUUUUUGUUAUAUAAAUUAUUUUUGUAUAUAGAUAAAUUCUG